rnacentral:rRNA from 1 species
UCGGUCCCUAUCUGCCGUGGGUGUAGGAAUAUUGAGAGGAGCUGUCCUUAGUACGAGAGGACCGGGAUGGACAUACCUCUGGUGGACCAGUCGUUCUGCCAAGAGCGCAGCUGGGUAGCUAUGUAUUGAACGGAUAACCGCUGAAAGCAUCUAAGCGGGAAACCGGCCUCAAAACAAGUAUUCCCUUGAGAACCGUGGAAGACCACCACGUUGAUAGGUCGGGUGUGGAAGCACAGCAAUGUGUGAAGCUUACCGAUACUAAUUGUUCGAUAGGCUUGAUCGUCCUCAUG